ACUCAAAGGAAUAGACGGGGGCCCGCACAAGCAGUGGAUUAUGUGGUUUAAUUCGAAGCAACGCGAAGAACCUUACCAGGGCUUGACAUGGAGACGACGUGCUUAGAGAUAGGCAUUCCCUACGGGGCGUCUCACACAGGUGGUGCAUGGUUGUCGUCAGCUCGUGUCGUGAGAUGUUGGGUUAAGUCCCGCAACGAGCGCAACCCCUAUUGUUAGUUGCUACGCGAGAGCACUUUAGCGAGACUGCCGUUAACAAAACGGAGGAAGGCGGGGACGACGUCAAAUCAUCAUGCCCCUUAUGUCCUGGGCUACACACGUAAUACAAUGGCGUCCAACAGAGGGAAGCAAGACCGUGAGGUGGAGCAAAUCCCGAAAAGGCGUCCCAGUUCGGAUCGCAGGCUGCAACCCGCCUGCGUGAAGUCGGAAUUGCUAGUAAUCGCGGAUCAUCAUGCCGCGGUGAAUACGUUCCCGGGCCUUGUACACACCGCCCGU
rnacentral:rRNA from 1 species